UUUUAUUUGUUUGUGAAUAUAUCUUUUAUUUAGUCAAUUUCAUGUCACUGUCCAUCGGUGAUUUACGAAUUUUUUUUUUUUUUUAAUAUUAUGGGGAGAGGAGAAGAUCCGAAUUUGAUGAAGAAGAAAGGACAGACUCGUGCAGUCUCGAUUGCCGCGAGGUGAGGUCUGAGGCCUUUUAGGAUAAGUCCAUUUUUAAUACUGUGCAAACAUUAUUCUAAUCCAAUAAUUCCAUUUUUGUUUUAUAUGGAUUAUCUGUGGCACAUAAUUAUAUUUGCAUAUUAGCGUUACGACACUGCUUUUCUAAAAAUAUGUUAAAUGAAAUUUCAGUUUUUAAACAGAAAACAAGGCUAUCUAACUCGUCGGCGAUGAGAUGUGAAUUUUAACUCUUCUAGGCCUCGUUUGUAAUUUUAGAUUUUGAGGCUCUCGCAAUGCACUGCCAAUAUCUGGGCCUUGAUUGCUUGACCAAUUUAGCAAAGAGGACAGUAAUUUUUGUUUCCAUUGUUUUAUCGUCUAAAAAGAAGGGAGAAAUAGGAGGGUUUAGAAAACAAAAUUUAGAUAUCUAGAGAAUGAUUAUAAUACUAUAGUUAAAGAGUAUAUGGGUUAUGGUGAUUUCAUGGCUACUACUAGAGUACCCAUCAUGAAGAAGAGGAAAAAAGAUGUUGAAAAGAGAGAAAAUUUUGGAUUUGGAAAUUAUCGACUAUAGAAAAGCAAAAUGUAAAGGAAUAAAAGCUUCCCUUCCUAUCCGUCCUUUAAACUUCAGGAGAAAAUGUAAUGUGGGGUUAUAGCUUUCAUACAAGGAAAGGCAAUUAAAGUCUUCAAUAGUUAACUUGUGAAGCGGAGAAAGAGGUGGUUGGAAGGAAAAAAAUGCAGCGAUCCGAAGCGUGUUGAACAAAAUUAAAGUACUUCAAUUCAAAGCCACUAAAUUAGAUUUUUUUAUUAAUAUGUUGUCUUUAUCCAUUCACUGUUCGUGCUUUGAUUAACUUGUCGAAUAAGCCAAUAGUUCGUUUUCUGUUAUUAAAAUCUGGUGACGUUUACAAUGGCCUUCUUCUUUUCCAAUGAAAGAUUCAACGUUUCUUAUAUAUUUCCAUUAAAAAAAGUUGGCCACAUAAAUUUUCUGACAGUGGAAUUUUUCUUUUAUGGAAGUUGAAUAUCCAAUUCAUUUCUCUAUUUGAUUUAGAAGUGGGUUUCCUCCGUUCUCUCUCUUUUCUAAAUGUUCUGUUUGUUUUUCUUUUUUUCUUUUUUUUUGUGGGAACUUCUUUUAGCAGGAAUUUCAAAACUGCACAAAGAGAUGCCCUUCUCGACAGUGAAUUUUUCAAAUUUUAAUCUUUAGCCCUGGCGCACGCACUGCUUUUGCUUUAUACUCAUUGCUAACAUGCUCUCCGAAUU
rnacentral:lncRNA from 1 species